rnacentral:snRNA from 1 species
AUACUUACCUGACAGAAAGAUUUCAAAUAUUAUCAAGGUGAUUUUCCUAGGGUAAACUUCUUCAUUGCACUCAGGAUAUACUAACCCCUGCAAUUCCCCCAGUUGCAGGAAACUAAACUACAUGAUGUGUGGUAUUGGAGAGCUGCAUUCAUGGUCUCCAC